AACGGCCGUACCAUGCUGAAUAUACCGGUUCUCGUUAGAUCACCGAAGUUGAGCAUCAUUGGGCGCGGUCAGUACUUGGGUGGGCGUU